GCUUAAAACCACACUGUGCUCUCCUCCAAUAGGACCAACACAAACAUAAAUAAUGUUCUCUUCUCCCUCCACCAAACUCAGUCAAUCAUUUGGGAUAUAAAUUAGUAAUCUCCUAACUGAGAAGAAUUGUGCUGGCUCACUCUCCUUUCUUUCCUUUCAUCAAGGGCUCCAAUUGGAUCUGCUUUUUGCCUAACAAGUACUCCAGUCUUCUUUUUCUCUUCCAAG
rnacentral:misc_RNA from 1 species